rnacentral:lncRNA from 1 species
GUAGAAACAAAAAGGAAUCCUCAUUAAAGGGCAAGCUGAAUAGUUGUCAAGUUACCGGGUGGUAGGUUAGGUACAGACAGACACUUAAGUCAGCAAAAAGUGGGGGGGCCAGUUAACAUUGCUGGCCCCCCCACCUCCGAAAGUGGGGGGGCCAUGGCCCCCCCGGCCCCCCCCCCCCCCCCUGUUCCUACGCCUAUGGUAUAUCAUCUCAACAAAUAUUGGUAUGUAUAUUCUCACGCAGUUGAGCGACACCCACAAGGAGAACAUCCGCUUCAAUAUGCACACUGGCUUCCCAAGCGCUUAAACUUAACUUCCCAGUCAUGACUCGCCGAAGAUAGCAAGUCAGCCAAACCGACCCAGACAAGGCCAGCCCAUACAUUAUCUGUACCUAUUCGCCCCAGAAACGUCCUUAUCUGCUAUCGUGCGGCAUGAUAAGAACGACCGGACGUAUCAUGAGCCAUUGUCACCUAUUUGAGGAGCGAUAGCGGCCUCGUCGGCACACAUUUCGGGUCUGCACGUGUCAGCUCUCCGGGCCAGAAGUGUGGUCUUCACGCUGUUCAGGGCACGGUUUUCCCGAGCGCCACCCCCGAACCCACGUUAUCUCAGGAGGGGGACGGGAAGUCCGCCGCUCGGCAGUCAGGUCGGACGAGUCGGGAACGACGCCGCAGAGUCGAUCUGCGAGGCGAGGAAGGAGCAUCGGCAGACGCUGAGAGAGCGCGAGCUGCGUCUGAGUUACAGCUGAGGACAGCAAGUCUGUCGAUCGAGAACAGCCGAGCAGGAGAGGUCUCCGGUUGUGGAAAAGCCAGUAUUCUGGUCACAAGUCUGUGAAGGAGCCGUGCUGGGAUCAUAUUACGAGAUAGGCGGUCAGCAACGAGAUAAUACACUUCGUCUAGCAACGGCACGCCGUCUGGCCACUUCAGAGCGACUGGGUACGAACGACUCGAGCCGAGCCACUAUCGUCGCAUGCCGAACAUGUCGCCCAAGGCCGCAGCCGACGAGACGGUACCCCGUCUGCCCCAGCAUCUGAUGGACAACGCCCAGGGCACGAUGGCCAAAAGGUUCACCCUGCGAACUUCCGCGUCCGAAAAGGAACCUUCCAAGACUAGUGAGCCUGAAACGGUUCCUAGCAUCCCUCAACAUCUAAUGGACAACGCUCAGGGCACAAUGGCCAAGAGGUAUACUCUGGGAACUUCCACGGCCCAAGAAAAGGAACCUUCCAAGACUAGUGAGCCUGAAACGGUUCCUAGCAUCCCUCAGCAUCUGAUGGACAACGCUCAGGGAACAAUGGCCAAGAGGUAUACCCUGGGAACUUCCACGGCCCAAGAAAAACAAUCGAAGCCCAGUGAGCCUGAAACAGUUCCUCAAAUUCCUCAGUAUUUGAUGGACAAUGCCCAGGGAACCAUGGGAAAGCGACACACCCUUGGAACAUCUAAACAAGAAGCUUCAAGGCCUAGUGAGCCUGAAACAGUUCCUCAAAUUCCCCAACAUCUGAUGGACAAUGCCCAAGGAACGAUGGGGAAGCGACACACCCUUGGAACAUCCACGGCUAAACAGGAAACUCCAAAGUCAAGCGCGUCUGUCCCUCGUCUGCCUCAGCAUCUGAUGGACAACGCCCAGGGCACAAUGGCCAAGAGGUACACCCUUGGAGCCUCCACUUCCGAAAAGGAGCCAUCCAAGCCUAGUGAGCCUGAAAAGGUUCCCAGCAUUCCGCAGCAUCUAAUGGACAACGCCCAAGGAACGAUGGGAAAACGGUUUACACUGAGUGAAAACGGGCAGAUGCGGAGCAAACUGUAGCUAGAGGGGACAGUGCAACGUAACAGAUAAGUGUCAUUCGUUGAAAUAUUUAUUGAUAGUGUUAUGCCCUGAAGCGUUGGAUUCCAGUCGUCAAAUGUAAGUUGAGUCCGAGAGUCAAUACUCAAUAUCGUUACGUUUAACAUGAUAGCGCAAGUGUCUCAUGCGUCCCGACUCGCAGUGUAUCUAGGUCACAGAGUCAAGUGUUCCAAGGACACGUGCUGUAGUGUUCAAGUAUGAAGUGGCCGCCUAUAUUCCUAAUCACUGAUGACUGUCGGAACUGCGGUGAGCUGAAAAUGGUGCCAGUGAUGUCUGGACUAUAAAACAAUGUGCCUAAUGUUAACACGUGUGCAUCGUUAUAUUGUAUUUAGGACUGCUAGUGUCGAUACAUGACAACGAAAAAUCACAAGUUUUUUCCUCAUAGUUUGACGUUUAAAGUAGUUUGAAGACUUGAGCCUCCCUAUACAUUGUAUCGUGAUUCGUGGUGCAGGUAAAUAUAUCAUCUUCAUUAUCA